UAGAUGCCACGAAGUAGGUGGCAAUGCCUUGACCAUAUGCAUGUUGUUAGGCCCGAGAACCUCUUCCAUCCUUACAAAGAGUGGUUAGAUGCCACCAAG